UGAAUACGAGAUGCUACGGCGUCGAAGCAGUCUAUGUCAUACUUCCAAGAAAAGCUCGCACUGUCAUAAACAAAUAAUGCCUGUACCAUAACCGACACAGGUGGGUAGGUAGAGUAUACUAAGGGGCGCGAGAUAACUCUCUCUAAGGAACUCGGCAAAAUGACUCCGUAACUUCGGGAGAAGGAGUGCCUUAUUUAUAAGGUUGCAAUAACAAGAUCCAAGCAACUGUUUAUCAAAAACACAGGUCUCCGCUAAGUCGUAAGACGAUGUAUGGGGGCUGACGCCUGCCCAGUGCCAGAAGGUUAAAGAAGUUGGUUAGCAUUCGCGAAGCUGAUAACUGAAGCCCUGGUGAACGGCGGCCGUAACAAUAACGGUCCUAAGGUAGCGAAAUUCCUUGUCGGGUAAGUUCCGACCCGCACGAAAGGCGUAACGAUUUGGAUACUGUCUCGGAGAGGGGCUCGGUGAAAUAGACUUGUCUGUGAAGAUGCGGACUACCUGCACCAGGACAGAAAGACCCUAUGAAGCUUUACUGUAACUUGAGAUUGAAAUUGGACUUUACUUGCGCAGUAUAGGUGGGAGGCGUUGAUAAUAUUCUUGCGGGAUUAUUUGAGCCAUCAGUGAGAUACCACUCUUGUAAUGUUAGAUUUCUAACUUUGUAUCAUUAUCUGGUCAAAGGACAGUUUCAGGCGGGCAGUUUGACUGGGGCGGUCGCCUCCUAAACGGUAACGGAGGCGCACAAAGGUUUCCUCUGAACGGGUAGAAAUCGUAUCUAGAGUGUAAAGGCAUAAGGAAGCUUGACUGUGAGACCUACAAGUCGAGCAGGGACGAAAGUCGGUCUUAGUGAUCUGACGGUGCUGAGUGGAAAGGCCGUCACUCAACGGAUAAAAGUUACUCUAGGAUAACAGGCUGAUCUCCCCCAAGAGUUCACAUCGACGGGGAGGUUUGGCACCUCGAUGUCGGCUCAUCGCAUCCUGGGGCGGUAGUACGUCCCAAGGGUUGGGCUGUUCGCCCAUGAAAGCGGUACGCGAGCUGGGUUCAGAACGUCGUGAGACAGUUCGGUCCAUAUCCGGUGUAGGCGUUAGAAUAUUGAGAGGAGCCUUCUUUAGUACGAGAGGACCGAGAAGGACAUACCUCUGGUGUACCAGUUAUCGUGCCAACGGUAAACGCUGGGUAGCUAUGUAUGGAGUGGAUAACCGCUGAAAGCAUCUAAGUGGGAAGCCCACCUCAAGAUAAG
rnacentral:rRNA from 1 species